AUUGAACGCUGGCGGCAUGCCUUACACAUGCAAGACGAACGGUAACGGGCCUUCGGGUGCCGACGAGUGGCGAACGGGUGAGUAAUACAUCGGAACGUGCCCGAUCGUGGGGGAUAACGAGGCGAAAGCUUUGCUAAUACCGCAUACGAUCUACGGAUGAAAGCAGGGGACCGCAAGGCCUUGCGCGGACGGAGCGGCCGAUGGCAGCUUAGGUAGUUGGUGGGAUAAAAGCUUACCAAGCCGACGAUCUGUAGCUGGUCUGAGAGGAUGAUCAGCCACACUGGGACUGAGACACGGCCCAGACUCCUACGGGAGGCAGCAGUGGGGAAUUUUGGACAAUGGGCGCAAGCCUGAUCCAGCCAUGCCGCGUGCAGGAUGAAGGCCUUCGGGUUGUAAACUGCUUUUGUACGGAACGAAAAGCCUUCUUUUAAUACAGGAGGGUCAUGACGGUACCGUAAGAAUAAGCACCGGCUAACUACGUG
rnacentral:rRNA from 1 species